rnacentral:lncRNA from 1 species
CUUUUGUUACAUUUGUUACAAAUCUGAUGAUUAAAGUACGUUAUAAAUAAGUGAGUGACAUUUGUUAUAAAUCCAAUGAUUAUAGUACAUUAUAAAUAAUUCUGUUAUCUCAUGACAUAUAUUGUUUAGUGUGAAAUAAGACUAUAGCUAUCAUAUUUUCAUUAUCGCACCUAGGUAGUCCUUCGUGUUACUCUUGCUAAUAAUCACUCAUGUACUGCUUUGUGAGUUACUCGUGCUAAAUUAUUGAACAUAUUAUGGCACUGUAGUGUUAGUAUGGACACACAUUACUAGUAAUCUAGGUGGUUGUAGUCUACAAUGUCAAGAGAUAGCAGAGCACUGCUAGUAAGACCAACUUGUACUUGCUUGGAGAAUAGAAGAUUGAGGUCAUGAUGUUCAUAAGCAGGAUCA